UACGUAGGGUGCGAGCGUUAAUCGGAAUUACUGGGCGUAAAGCGUGCGCAGGCGGUUAUUUAAGUCAGGUGUGAAAGCCCUGGGCUUAACCUAGGAAUUGCGCUUGAGACUGGAUAGCUUGGAGUGCGGCAGAGGGAGGUGGAAUUCCACGUGUAGCAGUGAAAUGCGUAGAAAUCCGGAGGAACACCAGUGGCGAAGGCGGCCAUCUGGACGAGUACUGACGCUGAGACGCGAAAGCGUGGGGAGCAAACAGG
rnacentral:rRNA from 1 species